UGAACGGCCACAUUGGGACUGAGACACGGCCCAGACUCCUACGGGAGGCAGCAGUGGGGAAUAUUGCACAAUGGGGGAAACCCUGAUGCAGCGACGCCGCGUGGAGGAAGAAGGUCUUCGGAUUGUAAACUCCUGUUGUUGAGGAAGAUAAUGACGGUACUCAACAAGGAAGUGACGGCUAACUACGUGCCAGCAGCCGCGGUAAAACGUAGGUCACAAGCGUUGUCCGGAAUUACUGGGUGUAAAGGGAGCGCAGGCGGGAGAACAAGUUGGAAGUGAAAUCCAUGGGCUCAACCCAUGAACUGCUUUCAAAACUGUUUUUCUUGAGUAGUGCAGAGGUAGGCGGAAUUCCCGGUGUAGCGGUGGAAUGCGUAGAUAUCGGGAGGAACACCAGUGGCGAAGGCGGCCUACUGGGCACCAACUGACGCUGAGGCUCGAAAGUGUGGGUAGCAAACAGGAUUAGAUACCCUGGUAGUCCACACCGUAAACGAUGAUUACUAGGUGUUGGAGGAUUGACCCCUUCAGUGCCGCAGUUAACACAAUAAGUAAUCCACCUGGGGAGUACGACCGCAAGGUUGAAACUCAAAGGAAUUGACGGGGGCCCGCACAAGCAGUGGAGUAUGUGGUUUAAUUCGACGCAACGCGAAGAACCUUACCAAGUCUUGACAUCCCUUGACGAUGCUGGAAACAGUAUUUCUCUUCGGAGCAAGGAGACAGGUGGUGCAUGGUUGUCGUCAGCUCGUGUCGUGAGAUGUUGGGUUAAGUCCCGCAACGAGCGCAACCCU
rnacentral:rRNA from 1 species